CACCCGGACACAGCAUCACCCGGACACAGCAUCACCUGGACACAGCAUCACCCAGGACACACACAAGAUGCCAUGGGGAGCAGGAUGGGGUGAUCAGUAACUUAACCCCAGCACCAGCAAGUGUUCAUUUCCCCAACACAGCUCUUUGUCUGUCCAGGCAUAGAUUGCAGACUCAUUCAAGAGCGUUCAGUGUAAAUGACUGUGGGUAUAAGGAGUGCUGGAGCUGCAGGCUGGGAGCACUGCAGUGAAGUGCACAAGGCAUCAGCUCAGGGAUGCUCCCUCAGAAGCAAUGGGAAGGGUAUUAUUUUCUCCCUUCUGAACAUCCCUUCGUAUCCACCAUCCCCCUGUAUCCAUUCCCUGCGUGAUGGAGCCCAUCGCCACAGAGCUGCAGGAUCUGAUGAGACCACAAAGAAGAGAAGCCUGGUUGGUUGGCCUGCAUCAAGCCCCAGUCAGACAAUCCCCUACCAGGUUCAGGCAACCAGACAGAGAAACAACAGCCGUUUUGAAAUGGUAAUGACUGAUCUGAGACAGGCAAAUGACUCAGCCACACCUCUUAGAGGUUUCCAAAGUCAUGCAGGAGCAGGGAGCCCUGCCUGCUGCUCAGCUCUGGGCAGGGAAUGUGUAGUGAGUGCUGGGAGCU